GACGAACCGUGCGAACGUUGUUCGGAAUCACUGGGCUUAAAGGGCGCGUAGGCGGUCGAUCAAGUCCGGGGUGAAAUCCUGCAGCUUAACUGUAGAAGUGCCUUGGAUACUGAUCGGCUCGAGGGAGGUAGGGGUCUGUGGAACUUCUGGUGGAGCGGUGAAAUGCGUUGAUAUCAGAAGGAACGCCGGUGGCGAAAGCGGCAGACUGGACCUCUUCUAACGCUGAGGCGCGAAAGCUAGGGGAGCAAACGGG
rnacentral:rRNA from 2 species